rnacentral:lncRNA from 1 species
GUGUUUGGGCAGUAUUUACUUGUUCUUGCACAAAUUCAGGGUAUUGAGCUGCCAAAGGGCACUCAAAAAUAGGGUGAGACGGGCUAGAACAGAGAACACAAACUUGUGCUUGGAAAAAGUUUGGAAGCUGUUCUCUAGACAUUAGCUGGUCCAAUUUGCGGGACAGUGCAUCUACUUUGUCAGAUAGACCUAUGGACUGGCUAACUUCAUAUAUGGUCCCUUUUCUUUGAGAACUCGGGGGUGCUUGACGAGCGGAGGAGGCAUGGUGGAGGAAAUUUUCAUUAAGGUUUUCAAACAUCUGCCAUGCCUCAUGCUCACUUUUAAGCAUGAAAGUCUCCCCACAAGAAGCAUCAACCAUGUGACGGUUUCGUUCAGAUAACCCGUCAUAAAAGCAUUGCACUAAUUGCCAUUUGGGUAUUUGAUGAUGUGGGCAUUUUCGGAGUAAGUCUCUAAAUUUUUU